ensembl:misc_RNA
AGAGAAGGAGGCCAGUGCUACCAGGGUUAUCUCGCAGCCUCAGAUGUUGGAUAAGUCGAAGGAGGCAGGAUCGCUUCAGGAUGACAUUCAGAAAGGCCGGAGUGAUUAUUGGGAAGAGAAAAGCCUACCUAUUCUUUUCUAAGGUAAACAGUUUAUUUCAUCUGGC